rnacentral:rRNA from 1 species
CCUACGGGAGGCAGCAGUGGGGAAUAUUGCACAAUGGGGGAAACCCUGAUGCAGCGACGCCGCGUGAGUGAAGAAGUAAUUCGUUAUGUAAAGCUCUAUCAGCAGGGAAGAAAAUGACGGUACCUGAGUAAGAAGCCCCGGCUAACUACGUGCCAGCAGCCGCGGUAAUACGUAGGGGGCAAGCGUUAUCCGGAUUUACUGGGUGUAAAGGGAGCGUAGACGGGAGUGCAAGUCCGGAGUGAAAGGCUGGGGCUCAACCCCCGGACUGCUCUGGAAACUGUACGGCUGGAGUGCAGGAGAGGUAAGUGGAAUUCCUGGUGUAGCGGUGAAAUGCGUAGAUAUUAGGAGGAACACCAGUGGCGAAGGCGGCUUACUGGACUGUAACUGACGUUGAGGCUCGAAAGCGUGGGGAGCAAACAGGAUUAGAUACCCCAGUAGUC